rnacentral:rRNA from 1 species
GACAGAGGGGGCAAGCGUUGCUCGGAAUUACUGGGCGUAAAGGGUGCGUAGGUGGCGCCGUAAGUCGGGUGUGAAAUUUCGGAGCUUAACUCCGAAACUGCAUUCGAUACUGCGGUGCUUGAGGACUGGAGAGGAGACUGGAAUUCAUGGUGUAGCAAUGAAAUGCGUAGAGAUCAUGAGGAAGACCAGUGGCGAAGGCGGGUCUCUGGACAGUUCCUGACACUGAGGCACGAAGGCCAGGGGAGCAAACGGG